rnacentral:piRNA from 1 species
UCAAAUGGGAACAAAAUUCUUUAGAUAGAAGU